GAUGAAGAACUCAGCGAAAUGCGAUAAGUAAUGUGAAUUGCAGAAUUCAGUGAAUCAUCGAAUCUUUGAACGCACAUUGCGCCCGCCAGUAUUCUGGCGGGCAUGCCUGUUCGAGCGUCAUUUCAACCAUCAAGCCCCCGGCUUGUGUUGGGGACCUGCGGCUGCCGCAGGCCCUGAAAACCAGUGGCGGGCUCGCUAGUCACUCCGAGCGUAGUAAUACAUCUCGCUCAGGGCGUGCUGCGGGUUCCGGCCGUUAAAAAGCCUUAUUUACCCAAGGUUGACCUCGGAUCAGGUAGGAAGACCCGCUGAACUUAAGCAUAUCAAUAAGCGGAGGA
rnacentral:misc_RNA from 1 species